rnacentral:sRNA from 1 species
UGAUACAAGGCCUAAGAAAGAUUUGAUA